GGUGGAUUUAAUCAAAGUUUCAAGUCCGUCUGCGUGCUUUUCUUCUAGAGAGAGAAAUUAGAGAGAAAGAGACCGGGUGGUGAAGCUAAGGAUCUGUCACAGAGAAAGAUGGCGGUGAGCUAUGUUUACACUUCCCCCUGUUUAAUUUUUUAGAUCUCUUUCGGAUUUUCUGUUUGUUUCUCCAGAAAUUUCCCUCUAUAAUUCCUCAAUUUUGUGGUUCUGCUCUCUGAUUUUAGCACCUGUACGAGUCUGGUGUUGAGUGCGUCUCUUCUACACCUUCCCCUUUCCUCUUUAUCUGGCGUGAUUUUUGUGAUGUGGGGUGAUAUUGUUUUUUCUUUGGAAUAUGUUCUUUUAGAUGGGUUAGUAAGUACUUGGGAUUUUAGUGCAUUCGUGAGGCUAAAGUGUGUGUUUUGAUGCAGAGUAUGUGUCAAAUGAACUGAUCUUGGUUUCCAUUUUCCUGAUCGGUGAAGAGCUAAAGAUUGAGGGUGGAACAACGAAUGUUUCAGCAGUGCUUGUGGUACAAAGUUGUGCAGGUGUGUUAUGGUUUGCAGUCAUCCAUCAACUGAAGUGUAAAAUUCUUUAAUGCAGCCAUAUUAAAGGAUUUAUUCAGUUAGGGCUACAAAAGUAUUGGAUCAAAUGUCUUUCCGUAGUAUAGUUCGUGACAUGAGGGAUGGGUUUGGGAGUUUAUCAAGGCGGAGUUUUGAUCUGAGGCUGUCAGGCCAUCACAGAGGGAAAUCUCAUGGUUCAGUAAGCGAGUUGCAUGAUCAGCAUGUGGUAAUCCAGAACAGUCGUUGGGCUAGCCUCCCACCCGAGCUACUACUUGAUGUGAUCAAGAGAUUGGAGGCAAGUGAGAGUACUUGGCCUGCUCGGAAGCAUGUUGUUGCCUGUGCUGCCGUGUGCAGGUCAUGGAGGGAAAUGUGUAAAGAAAUAGUCACAAGUCCUGAAUUAUCAGGGAGGAUUACCUUUCCAGUUUCCCUGAAGCAGCCAGGGCCCAGGGAUGGAACAAUUCAGUGCUUUAUUAAGAGGGACAAGUCAAACUUAACUUACCAUCUUUUCCUUUGCCUCAGCCCUGGUAAGUUUUUCUCUCAAAAUUUGCGUUGAUUUCAAUGCCUUUUAUAAGACCUGCCUUGUAUACUAAUUUGUGCGAUCUUAUAGUGGUAGAAAUAUUACAACUGGUUAAAUUACUUCGCUUUAGUUUUUUCUUCGCGAAAUAUGUGGCCUUCAGUCGCGUGGAUUUUUCUUUUACCUUAGUGUUUGAUUGCAAUAGGGUACCGUACUUUCUGGUUCACUAUAGAUAACUUUUAUGUAAUAUAGUUUGUAGCUUUUAUGAUUGUUCUUCUUAAUGACAAUAAGGUAACAUUUCUAUGUCAUGAUGAAUUAUACUUUCUAGUUUCUAGUUUCAUUCCAAAACUAGUAGUUGCAUUUCUAAUUCUCCUGAGCAGCUGCAAGAUUGAUAAGUUCAGACUAGUUCUAAUUUGUUUUCUAUGACAUGGAAAGGCCAGCUUAACUGUUGCAAGCAAUUUUUAGUAAUAUUCAUUCAAACGUUAUUAAUAUGGCUAUUUUAUUUUGUAUUUCCAAGGGAAUUGUCAAUAUUAUGUUACAUUGCCUAUGAAGUAUUCUCAUAUUUUCAAGUUAGUUUUCUUUUUCACCCAACAGCUCUCAGCUGAGUUAUUAGAAGGCAAUAAAGUUUUGUAUUAUUCUUAUUCUGCUGCUGAGAUGUUCUGCAUGAUUGUUUCUCCCUUCAUUUUACUUUACUGUUAAUGUGACUAUCUCUUGAUUAAUGCCAUGGUUUUGCAGCUUUGCUUGUUGAAAAUGGGAAGUUUCUAUUGUCUGCAAAACGCACCCGGAGAACUACUUGCACUGAGUAUGUAAUCUCAAUGCAUGCAGAUAACAUAUCAAGAUCAAGCAGCACUUAUAUUGGAAAACUGAGGUAGAAGUUCACUGUAUCCCAUGUUUGAUUAGCUGCUAUAGCACACAACUUUACCCUGCUCUGCAUGAUCUUGUGCAAAAUUGUGGUAAUUUCCUUUAUUUUAGGCAUGAGGACAGAUUUUAAGCAUAAAGUAACAUGUGGUUCCCUAACUGGCUGCAUCCAUGCUAAGUUGUUUCUGCCAUAUAUUACAGCAGUAACUUAUUGAACAUGCCAUUGUCAUAUAUGUGUCUAACUAAGGUUAUCUCUUUCUUCUACUUUUUGUAAGCCAACCAUUGGGCUCCAUGCUUAAUUCAUCUCCUUGAAGCACAUCAAAUGCUUAAAAUUCAAAUGAUUGGAUAAUAAGUUUUUCAUUUACCAAACUCUUUAAAAUUGUUACUGUGAAUGGAAUAUGCAAGAAUGUGACAUUUUAGAGUGCUAUGGAUUUUAAUAAGAUGAAGAGUCUAUGCUGAAUUAAUUCCCAUAUUUGGGUCAUUAUGAGUACAAUAGUUUUUUGGUUAAGCAGGUAAGUGUGUCAAGGCUGUUUUGAUAUCCUUAUAAUUAGUGCACAAAUGGAUUGUUGUCAUCAAAAUCUCAGUUCCAACCAAUAUCAAAUGCGCUUGGUUUAUUAUCUUUGGUUUGAUAAAUGUCUGAGUGCUUGAAUUUUGUCUAAAUGAAUAUUUGCCCUUGUUUCAGGUCAAAUUUUCUAGGUACCAAAUUCAUAAUUUAUGAUACGCAACCCCCUUACAACAAUGCUCAACUUUCCCCACCUGGCCGGAGUCGAAGGUUCUAUUCAAAAAAAGUAUCUCCUAAGGUCCCCACAGGAAGCUACAACAUUGCUCAGGUUACAUAUGAGCUGAAUGUGCUGGGCACAAGGGGUCCACGUAGGAUGCACUGUACAAUGCAUUCAAUCCCUGCCUCAUCGCUUGAGCCAGGUGGUUUUGUCCCAGGCCAACCUGAGCUCCUACCACGUUCCCUUGAAGACUCAUUUAGGAGCAUUUCCUUCUCAAAAUCAAUUGAUAAUUCAACUGAAUUUAGCAGUGCCAGGUUCUCAGACAUUGUUGGACCUCGAGAUGAGGAUGAUGAGGGCAAGGAGAGACCACUGGUUCUCCGGAACAAGCCACCAAGAUGGCACGAGCAGUUGCAAUGUUGGUGCCUAAAUUUUCGUGGAAGAGUGACUGUUGCCUCUGUCAAAAAUUUUCAACUGAUUGCUGCAACGCAACCUGCUGCUGGUGCACCAACACCAUCGCAGCCAGCUCCAUCUGACCAUGACAAGAUAAUUCUGCAGUUUGGUAAGGUUGGCAAGGAUAUGUUUACCAUGGAUUAUCGGUAUCCUUUGUCUGCAUUUCAGGCUUUUGCUAUCUGCUUGAGCAGCUUUGACACGAAAUUGGCAUGUGAAUAGAAAGAAAAGAGACCACGGCAAGACAUAGAAACAUUUAGUAGUUGCUAAGCCUUUUCUUUUCUAGGGUUUCAUAGGAUGGUAGGGUGGGGAGAGAUAAGGGAGGUGUUGCAUGCAGUCACUGUACAACUAACUACUGUCAACUGGAAAGUGCAAAGAACAUCUUCUAUGCACGUUGGAGAGGACUAUUUCGUUUUCUCACCCUUUUACCGUUGUUUUCCUUGCUUUAGUUUGCAUUGAACGGUUCAUUGUGUUCUUAUCUGCUACCAUUUAAGCGUUAACUUUGUACUUUUCACAAGAAAAGUUGAAAAAAGAUUCAAUAUGGAAAGUGUGAUUGACGGCAUCUUUGAACAAUUUGAUUCUAAAGGGCUAUUAUCUUACUCUAUGCACCACAUCCUAAUGGUGAUGAUGAUGAUCAGUUGCCUUUGUUUUGGUACUGAGGUUCUAUUUGGUUAACUUGCUUGCACUUUUUGCAAUCAUAUAGUAUUACAAUAAGCAUCGUCAAACAAGGUA
rnacentral:misc_RNA from 1 species